CCAUUGCUCAGUUGGUACAGCACAAGAUUCUUAACCUUGUGGACGUGGGUUCAAGCCCCAUGGUGGG
rfam:Triticum aestivum genome assembly, contig: Triticum_aestivum_CS42_TGACv1_scaffold_159389_2DL